AGCAGCCGCGGUAAUUCCAGCUCCAAUAGCGUAUAUUAAAGUUGUUGCAGUUAAAAAGCUCGUAGUUGAAUUUCGGGAUCAAUAUAACGGUCAUGCCGUUGGUAUGCACUGUUAUAAUUGAUUUCUCACCUUCUAAAGAACCGUAAUGCCAUUAAUUUGGUGUCACGGGGAAUUAGGACUGUUACCUUGAAAAAUUAGAGUGUUUAAAGCAGGCUCACGCUUGAAUACAUUAGCAUGGAAUAAUGAAAUAGGACAUCCGAUUCUAUUUUGUUGGUUUCUAGGAUCGAUGUAAUGAUUAAUAGGGAUAGUUGGGGGCAUUAGUAUUCAAUUGUCAGAGGUGAAAUUCUUGGAUUUAUUGAAGACUAACUACUGCGAAAGCAUUUGCCAAGGAUGUUUUCAUUAAUCAAGAACGAAAGUUAGGGGAUCGAAGACGAUCAGAUACCGUCGUAG
rnacentral:rRNA from 1 species